AAACUAGAGGGCGCCACUACAUCUGGGUUUACAUCCGUCUAUAUCCGUUAUCCAGGUGUAUCUGUACUUGCAGAAGUUAACAUGAAGUUAAGUGACACGUUUACAGUAUACAAUAUAGCCUACUGCGUCUAUUUGGGUAGGUCUACUGAUAAUACACUAAUGCUUGUUGAACUAUUUCAACAACAGUCACUUCUUCACAGUCAUGUGUGUUUUUAUCUAUUAUACACUAUUCAACUGGUACAAUAAUUAUUUUUAUUAUUAUUGCAUAUAACUGCUAAAAAAAUAUUUUGUAAAAAGGCAUUUUAACAUGAGAAUGUCUUUAAGUGAUUCAGAACAUUCACAGCUGUAUUUUUGAAAAGAAAAAGUAAAAAAUUUCAACAGUCUGAACUGAAACUCUGAUCCUCUCAUCAGACUACUUUACUUUAUCAGUUGAACCACUUGCUCAACUUACCCCAGAACUACUAUUAUGACUUUAUUUGUCUUCAAAGCUAAAAUGGUGGACUUUUAUUCUAAGUUUUUGACCUCAUGUUGUAGCUCAUAGAUACCACAACUGAUGUAUAAAACAAAUUUAAAAUGAUCUUUUUUGGUCUGAAUACAGUUCUAAUAAAAUUAAUGACAGACUAAAUUCACUUUUAAGAGUGAUUUUUUUGUUGCUGUUGGAAAUAAAUGUCUAACCCCUUCACCCAUGUGCUUCUAACUUUCACAGACUCCAUGAAUUGAUGCCCAUCUCCUAAAUAUUUGGUCACAUGAUCGAUUUCUUUUACCAUUUCCAAUCAACAGAGGGUGGUUCAACUUAACCUCUGGCUCAAGUUACCCCACUCUCCCCUACAGUGCAGUGAUGAGGACAGUCUUUACAUUUGAAAAUUAAUAGUUUUCAUGAAAUUGAAGCAGUCACAGAAAAUUAACCUCAAGUUGUAAUUUUAUGUAAUAUCUAGAUGUGCAGGAACCUUGCACUACAGCAUAAAGAUAUCUAUGUGAUGCAUGCACAAACUAAAACCUGAUUUAAACAUGUAUUUUAUGAUUAUUGAGCAAUAUGAUCAGUGUUUGCAUUACAAGUAAGGUUGAUCUUCAUGUUUUGUAAAGUUUGCAUUCACUAGUAGUUCUGUGUGGUUACCGGUAUACAUCUUUUACUACAUGAAAUACUUAUUAUUACUUAAAUAAACACAUUGAUUGACAUUCAACCCUGUGCUUAGUAACUGCUGCUAUUAGGUCUGUAAGGGUUACUCAAUGUUGAAGUAAUGUGUUCCUUGAGUGAGCAGCUAGAUGGCACCAGACACCCACCCUAUAAAUUGGUCUGUUGCAACUGGGGCUAAAAUAUCUUUCAUGAUAUCUUAAGAAGAGACAAGAUCUGGGUUGUGAACUAUAUAGGUGUGAAAGUAGAGGUUUUAUUAACAGGUAUCAAUUACUCUUUUUAUUCAAAUUGAAAUGUCAUAAUUUAUUCAAGGGUGACUUACUGACAAAAAAUCUUCAACAAGUCUUCAACAGUGAACUGGUCAAAAUUUUAUGACAAUUAUUCAGUUAUAUGAGUACCUCCAUUAGCUUUUUAAUUAGAGAUAAUUUAGAUGUGAGAUGGAGGUUACAGGUUUGAAUUAACAAUAGGCAUAAAUGUGAUCAUCAUUGCUGCUGUUUCUGUUCCUCUUUGUAACAUCUGCUGUGACAUUGUUCUGACGUUUCUGCACACUCUAGGUUUGAAUAGCAUCAAACCCUUUUUUUUUUCACUGUACCAAAAGGAUGAACCAUGUCUGGUGUUCUUCACAACUAUAUUUAUCAGCAGGAGUUUAUUGUUACUGUCUCUCACAGCCUGAUGUUUGUUUUCCCCUUGUCUCAGCCUGCCAGGAGUGCCUCCCUCCCCUGCCGGGCUGACAACCUGAGCUGCAUGCAAAGAGCCCAUGUUCUGUCUGCGACCUGGACCACUUGGCUACUUCACAAAGGCUUUAUAAAAUAACAGAGCCAUGCCGAGGAAAUGACAGCCCGAUUUCCUUCUCUCUCCCCCUCUGGCUGCCUACUGUGGUGGGAGUGGUAUGUCUCAAGAGUCCCCUUUACCUAAAACUUAAGAACCAAUCAAGAGGUGGUGUUAUAUUAGAGAUGAUACGAUACGAUACAAUACGAUACAAACGAUACAAUACGAUACAAUACGAUACAAUACAAUACGAUACAAUACGAUUCAAU